GAUGAAGAACGUAGCGAAAUGCGAUACGUAAUGUGAAUUGCAGAAUUCAGUGAAUCAUCGAGUCUUUGAACGCACAUUGCGCCCUCUGGUAUUCCGGAGGGCAUGCCUGUCCGAGCGUCAUUGCUGCCCUCAAGCACGGCUUGUGUGUUGGGCCCCGCCCCCCGAUCCCGGGGGGCGGGCCCGAAAGGCAGCGGCGGCACCGCGUCCGGUCCUCGAGCGUAUGGGGCUUUGUCACCCGCUCUGUAGGCCCGGCCGGCGCCUGCCGAUCAACCAAACUUUUUUCCAGGUUGACCUCGGAUCAGGUAGGGAUACCCGCUGAACUUAAGCAUAUCAAUAAGCGGGAGGA
rnacentral:misc_RNA from 1 species